rnacentral:rRNA from 1 species
UAGUCUAGAGAAGCAUCAUCCGUGCUGGACCAUGUACAAGUCUCUUGGAACAGAGCGUCAUAGAGGGUGAGAAUCCCGUCCUUGACAUGGACUCCCAGUACUUUGUGUUGUGCUCUCAAC